GGACCGGAGUGGACGCAUCACUGGUGUUCGGGUUGUCAUGCCAAUGGCAUUGCCCGGUAGCUAAAUGCGGAAGAGAUAAGUGCUGAAAGCAUCUAAGCACGAAACUUGCCCCGAGAUGAGUUCUCCCUGACCCUUUAAGGGUCCUGAAGGAACGUUGAAGACGACGACGUUGAUAGGUCGGGUGUGUAAGCGUAGCGAUACGUUGAGCUAACCGAUACUAAUGAACCGUGAGGCUUAACCUUACAACGCCGAAG
rnacentral:rRNA from 1 species